rnacentral:rRNA from 1 species
UCGGAUUGUAGGCUGCUACUCGCCUACUGAAGUCUGAAUCGCUAGUAAUCGCGGAUCAGCUACGCCCCGGUGAAUACGUUCCCGGGCCUUGUACACACCGCCCGUCACACCACGAGAGUUUGUAACACCCGAAGUCGGUGAGGUAACCUUUUAGAACCCUUCCCCCUAUGUUGGAUUAAUUGAUGGGGUGAAUUCCUUUCAAGGUUACCGUAAU